AUUACUCUUCUUUUAUAGUUACUUAGUCUGGCUAUAAAUACUGUUACAAUUAAAAAUAAACAAAAUAUUACAUUUGAAUUUGGAAUCUGUCAUUUUUAUAUGAUUGCUCAUUGAGUUUUUUCAUUUUGGCGCCAAUACAUUGUACAAUAUUUUGCGAUAUUAAGAUGGAGUGGGGUGAUAAAGAGAACCGAGUCGAUGUGAUUGCAUUAUACAAAGCAGGUAUGGAGCCAAAUGCAAUUUUUAAAACUCUCCAUACGCUUGGUAUUAGUAAAAUGUUUAUGUACCGGGCUAUUAACAGGUGCAAUGAGACCUCCUCUGUUUGUGACAGGAAAAGAUCUGGCUGUCCACGUAGUGUUCAUACGAAAAAGGUGGUCAAAGCAGUAAGGGAAAGAAUUCGAAGAAAUCCUGUCCGAAAGCAAAAGAUUUUAUCUCGGGAGAUGAAGAUAUAGAACCAUGAACCAUAGAACCACCUAGAACCAUGUCGCGUAUUUUAAAAGAUGACUUAGGACUUGCAGCCUUUAUGAGACGUACUGGUAAUUUCUUAACUGAUAAUUUAAAAGAGAAUAGGGUGGUAAAAUCGAAACAACUACUGAAGCGGUACGCAAAGGGAGGUCAUAGAAAAUUUUUGUUUACGGAUGAGAAAUUUUUUACAAUUGAGCAACAUUUUAACAAACAAAAUGACCGUAUUUAUGCUCAAAGCUCUAAGGAAGCUUCCCAAUUAGUCGACAGAGUGCAACGUGGGCACUAUCCGACUUCAUUGAUGGUUUGGUGGGGUAUUAGCUAUGAAGGAGUGACUGAGCCAUACUUUUGUGAAAAAGGUAUCAAAACAUCGGCACAAGUGUAUCAAGAUACCAUUCUUGAGAAGGUAGUGAAGUCCCUUAACAACACCAUGUUCAAUAAUCAAGAAUGCUUCUUCCAGCAAGACUCGGCGCCAGGUCAUAAAGCUCGGGCUACGAAGUCUUGGUUGGAAACGAACGUUUCGGAUUUUAUCAGAGUUGAAGACUGGCUGUCGUCUAGUCCCGAUCUUAAUCCGCUGGAUUAUGAUUUAUGGUCAGUUUUAGGAGAUACGGCUUGCUCUAAACGCCUUGAUAAUUUGGAGUCCCUAAAACAAUCCGUACGAUUGGCAGUGAAAAUUUUUCCCAUGGAAAGAGGUAUUGCAGCCAAUGGAGACCACUUCGAAUAAGCUUUUUAUACUUUAAAUAAACUAACACACUGUAAAAGUAAUAAAUUUUAUUUGCAAUAGAAUUUUUUUCUUUGUCUCAGUAUUUAUGGCAAGACUAGGUAAUUACCCCAUUUAUACUCUUUUUAUCUAGAUACUUCUUUACUUAUCUUUUAUCGAUUCUGCUGUUUUAUUAUUUAUAGAUAAUAUAUAUUCAUAUUGGUCCACGAUCCGGUGUGUUUCCUACAAGUAAAUCUUCCUAAAUAGUUUCAAGUCAUCUUUUUUACCUAUACUUUUACCCUAACCUUUAAAGAAAACAGCAGCACAUAGUAACAACAAUAAAGUCACUAAGUCAGAUACCUUACCUACAUAUCUGUUGGUUUAAUUUGGCGUGCAGUCUUGCCUGCAAACAGGGCUGCCGACGACCACGGCCUAAGCGGCUUAAGUCAUCAUUAGAUUAGCCGGAACUAUAUCUCCGGUUUAAGGCAACAAAAAACUUUGGGAGCCUCUGGAUUAUAGGUAUACACCCCUUAGGUAUUGUGGUAUCAAAAUGGUAAUACACCAGCAACCUAUUUGAAAAAUGGUUUAA